rnacentral:rRNA from 1 species
UACGUAGGUGGCAAGCGUUGUCCGGAUUUACUGGGCGUAAAGAGCGCGCAGGCGGUCGUUCAAGUCGCGUGUGAAAGCCCCCCGGCUCAACUGGGGAGGGUCACGCGAUACUGAUCGACUUGAAGGCAGGAGAGGGAAGUGGAAUUCCCGGUGUAGUGGUGAAAUGCGUAGAUAUCGGGAGGAACACCAGUGGCGAAGGCGACUUCCUGGCCUGUUCUUGACGCUGAGGCGCGAAAGCUAGGGGAGCAAACGGG